AUUAACGCUGGCGGUGUGUCUAAUACAUGCAAGUCGAACGGCUCGCAAGAGCAGUGGCAAACGGGUGAGUAACACGUUGGUACAUGCCCCGAAGUGAGGGAUACCCCGUAGAAAUACGGGUUAAUACCGCAUAUGAUCGCAAGAUUAAAGCAGCAAUGCGCUUCGGGAAUGGCCUGCGUACUAUCAGCUAGUUGGUGAGGUAAUGGCUCACCAAGGCUAUGACGGUUAACUGGUCUGAGAGGAUGAUCAGUCACAGGGAAACUGAGACACGGUUCCCACUCCUACGGGAGGCAGCAGUAAGGAAUCUUUCGCAAUGGGGGAAACCCUGACGAAGCGACACCGCGUGAACGAUGAAGGUCGGAAGAUCGUAAAGUUCUUUUCUGAGGGAGAAAUUCUGAUAGUACCUCAGGAAUAAGCACCGGCUAACUCCGU
rnacentral:rRNA from 1 species